rnacentral:rRNA from 1 species
CCUACGGGUGGCAGCAGUGGGGAAUAUUGCACAAUGGGGGAAACCCUGAUGCAGCGACGCCGCGUGAGUGAAGAAGUAUUUCGGUACGUAAAGCUCUAUCAGCAGGGAAGAAAAUGACGGUACCUGACUAAGAAGCCCCGGCUAACUACGUGCCAGCAGCCGCGGUAAUACGUAGGGGGCAAGCGUUUCCGGAUUUACUGGGUGUAAAGGGAGCGUAGACGGCAGCGCAAGUCUGGAGUGAAAUCCCAUGGCUUAACCAUGGAACUGCUUUGGAAACUGUGCAGCUAGAGUGCAGGAGAGGUAAGCGGAAUUCCUAGUGUAGCGGUGAAAUGCGUAGAUAUAUGGAAGAACACCAGUGGCGAGGGCGGCUCUCUGGUCUGCAACUGACGCUGAGGCUCGAAAGCAUGGGUAGCGAACAGGAUUAGAUACCCUUGUAGUC